GCCCUAGUGGCACAAUGGUUAAGUGCUUGGCUGCUAACCUGAAGGUUUGUGGUUCGAACCCACCCAAUGGCU
rnacentral:tRNA from 1 species